AGGAGUCACUGGUACUGCUGGUAAUGUGGGGGCAGCCCUGGCUCCCGUUUUAAUGACCCUCACGAUAUACUCUGCCUCUUUACCCUGGAUCAUCUAUGGAGUCAUCUCCAUCCUUGCUGGCUUUGUUCCUCUUCUCCUUCCUGAGACCAAGAAUAAGCCUCUGCCUGACUCCAUCCAAGAUGUGGAAAAUGAGUGGAAAGGUUCAAGGCAUACAAAUGAGGAAGGUGCCAUCAUCAAAGUGACACCGUUUUAAGGAACUCUGAGAAUUGCCUCUGGUUGAAUAGCAGGUUAAGGAAAAAAGUCACUCAGAAUGUGCUGUCCCAGGAAUAUUCCUAGCUAUUAGCAAAUUUUUCAAUAAAUGCUGAUGCAAAUAUGGAUUGUAUUUUA